rnacentral:rRNA from 1 species
UCCGUAGGCGGGCGUCUAAGUCAGUGGUGAAAUCUUACAACUCAACUGUAAAAUUGCCAUUGAUACUGGAUGUCUUGAAUUAGUGUGAAGUGGUUAGAAUGUGUAGUGUAGCGGUGAAAUGCAUAGAUAUUACACAGAAUACCAAUUGCGAAGGCAGAUCACUAACACUAUAUUGACGCUGAGGGACGAAAGCGUGGGGAGCGAACAGGAUUAGAUACCCUGGUAGUCC